AGACAAGGAUGAUUCUUUAUAUUUUUGGCUACCACUUCAAAUGCCUCCACUAAGUGUUACAAUGCUGCACGCAGCCAUACUAAGGAUCUCACAGCAACACUUGCAGGUAAACAGCAAAAGCAGUCAAAGUGCUGGUGUAUUCUGGACACUGUCUUUGAAAACUUUUAGGCAAGAACAGUGCAAGAAACAGACAUAAGAACUGCAUUUAUUUCUAUAAUUCCCCAUUUGAAUGGCCUUUUCUUUUUCCUUCGACAAUGCCUUCGCCUAGCCACAGCAGCUCCCUCAUACAGACUCCGCAAGCCAAGAGGCCGUGGAGGCAAAUGCAGACAGCCAGCACACCUCGAACAGCUACCUUGACUGCGGGUGUGUCACCCUAGUCGCCAAGGAAACAUUUGAGGGAAAGCGACAGGCUAUGUGAACAGCCACUUCUCCAUGUAAACGAUACUCUUUCUCUCGGAUGACUCCUACGUUCGCCACGCCAGCACACUUGUGCACAAAGAUGCCGCGGAGGCACGUGCAGGUCAGAGGCAAGAAGCAGUGGCACUGGUGUCGACAUUCGCCCAAUUUCUUUUUCUUACACUGAGGCAGCCAGCACACCUCGAACAGCCACCUUAACUGCGGGUGUGUUAGUAGAUUCCUGUUGUACAUAUGCUCAUAAUAAACUUCAGUAAACUUGAACUUGUUAAUAAACUUGAAGGCAAAUGGGA
rnacentral:lncRNA from 1 species